GAGUUUGAUCCUGGCUCAGAAUGAACGCUAGCAAUAAGCCUAACACAUGCAAGUUAAACAGAAUUCUUAUUAUCUGAAUUUUGUAGCAAACGGGUGAGUAAUACAUAGGAAGCUACCUUACAAUUCAGCUAAAUACUGAAUAAAUAUAUAAACGUAUUAAAAUAGAAUUCUAUUUUUAAUGUUUUUUAUAAAAGCAAAGUGUACAUAAAAUUUUAAUUUAAAUUUUACGUUUCUGUUGUAAGAUGCGCCUAUGCAGGAUUAGGUAGUUGGUGAGAUAACGGCUCACCAAGCCUUUGAUCUUUAGCUGAUCUGAGAGGAUAACCAGCCACAUUGGGACUGAGACACGGCCCAAACGUUUUCCAACGGCAGCAGUGAGGAAUUUUGGACAAUGGGCGAAAGCCUGAUCCAGCUAUGUUGCAUGGGUGAUGAAGGCUGUAUUGGCUGUAAAACCCUAAAUUUAAAUUAAGAUCAUGACAUUUUUUAAAUAAUAGUCCCGGCCAACUUCGUGCCAGCAGCCGCGGUAAUACGAGGGGGGCAAGCGUUAUUCAAAAUGACUGGGCGUAAAGGGCAUCUAGGCGGUUUACUAUGUUUUUUACAAAAAAUACCAGAGCUUAACUGUGGUAAUUAAAUAAAUAAUAUUAAACUAGAGUAAGUGCGAGGAAAAUGGAAUUUCUGGAGAAGAGGUAAAAUUUGUAGAUAUCAGAAGGAACAUCAAAAGCAAAGGCAAUUUUCUGUCACUUUACUGACGCUGACGUGCGAAAGCGUGGGGAGCAACCGGGAUUAGAUACCCCGUUAGUCCACGCUGUCAACUAUGAUAAUUCAUUAUUAGU
rnacentral:rRNA from 1 species